rnacentral:rRNA from 1 species
GAAUAUUAGUCAAUGCUCUCCUGAGUGAACUAGCUAACUGAAAUCAUUUGUGUGUCACAAGUGAUAACGUAAAGGAAAAUAAUGAUAUUACUUUACUAAUAGUGUCGUCCAAAACUGGUGCCAGAAGACUCGGUAAGGCCAGAGACGCAAACGUUAAUCCUCUUUAUCAGGCGUAAAGGGUUUGUAGGCUGCUUUUAAAGUUUUCAGACUUAGAAUAGUUAUUUUUAAUUCGAUGUUUCAAUGAUUUAUUUAUUGGAAUAUCUUUAAAAAUAUAAGUUUGGAGAUGAAUCAAAGCUAGAAUCAAAUAGAGGUUGUAAAUAGAAUACCUAGAGUAGGUCUGAUAUCUGUAAAUCCUAGGUAGAAUACUCAAAGCGAAGGCUUUCUUCCACUAAUGAUUGACGCUGAGAAACGAAGGUUAGGAUAGGAAAUAGGAUUAGAUACCCUAGUACCCCUCUCUGUCAACGAUGAAUGGUAGUUAUUAUUAUAUGAACAUAGUAGUAGCGAUGUUAACGCGAUAACCAUUCCGCCUUGUSAGUACAAUUGCAAAAUUGAAAACAAAAAAAUUA